GCACAGUGAUUGCUGGCUGAUUUUUUCCUUGCUUCUUCCCCAUCCUGAGCUGUUUAUGUCCUUGUGCCUCUCUUCACAAACCUGCUGAGGAAGAGAAAGGCAACACUUGGCUCCAAUCAAGGCUCCUAAAGUACUUGAAGAGGCUGAGUUAAAAGGUAAUGGAUUAAAAGAAGACGGCAGAAACAGAAGUUUACUGAUUGGAUUAUGAGUGUCCAAUAUUUGAGGUCCUGUGCACCCUUUAAUUUGGGCAGCAAAGGAGUCAGUAGAAGGGAAUUCUCUUGAGCUCGAGGAAGCCAUGAUGAUAUAAUUUGAGAUUAUGGGAGCUGUAGGUGCAAAUGUUUAAUCUCCCACUUAUUGAGCUCUUUUCACCUUUUUGUAAGCUUCUGUCCAUCUGUACCGUACAUGAUACAAAAACCUAUGUAUGCACAAGAGGAUGUAAGGACAAUUUGGAUAAAGAAAUCUUUUUGUU